AUACGGAGGGUGCAAGCGUUACUCGGAAUCACUGGGCGUAAAGGACGCGUAGGCGGGUUGGCAAGUCAGAUGUGAAAUCCUACAGCUUAACUGUAGAACUGCAUUUGAAACUGCUAACCUAGAGUAUGGGAGGGGGAGAUGGAAUUAGUGGUGUAGGGGUAAAAUCCGUAGAUAUCACUAGGAAUACCGAAAGCGAAGGCGAUCUCCUGGAACAUAACUGACGCUAAGGCGUGAAAGCGUGGGGAGCAAACAGGAUUAGAAACCCUGGUAGUCC
rnacentral:rRNA from 1 species